rnacentral:rRNA from 1 species
CCUACGGGAGGCAGCAGUGAGGAAUAUUGGUCAAUGGACGAGAGUCUGAACCAGCCAAGUAGCGUGAAGGAUGACUGCCCUAUGGGUUGUAAACUUCUUUUAUAUGGGAAUAAAAUGUUCCACGUGUGGGAUUUUGUAUGUACCAUAUGAAUAAGGAUCGGCUAAAUCCGUUCCAGCAGCCGCGGUAAUACGGAGGAUCCGAGCGUUAUCCGGAUUUAUUGGGGUUAAAGGGAGCGUAGGUGGAUUGUUAAGUCAGUUGUGAAAGUUUGCGGCUCAACCGUAAAAUUGCAGUUGAAACUGGCAGUCUUGAGUACAGUAGAGGUGGGCGGAAUUCGUGGUGUAGCGGUGAAAUGCUUAGAUAUCACGAAGAACUCCGAUUGCGAAGGCAGUUCACUGGACUGCAACUGACACUGAGGCUCGAAAGUGUGGGUAUCAAACAGGAUUAGAUACCCUGGUAGUC